rnacentral:rRNA from 1 species
CUUGGUGGUGAGAGUGGCGAACGGGUGAGUAAUGCGUGACCGACCUGCCCCAUACACCGGAAUAGCUCCUGGAAACGGGUGGUAAUGCCGGAUGCUCCAGUUGAUCGCAUGGUCUUCUGGGAAAGCUUUCGCGGUAUGGGAUGGGGUCGCGUCCUAUCAGCUUGACGGCGGGGUAACGGCCCACCGUGGCUUCGACGGGUAGCCGGCCUGAGAGGGCGACCGGCCACAUUGGGACUGAGAUACGGCCCARACUCCUACGGGAGGCAGCAGUGGGGAAUAUUGCACAAUGGGCGCAAGCCUGAUGCAGCGACGCCGCGUGAGGGAUGGAGGCCUUUCGGGUUGUAAACCUCUUUUAUCGGGGAGCAAGCGAGAGUGAGUUUACCCGUUGAAUAAGCACCGGCUAACUACGUGCCAGCAGCCGCGGUAAUACGUAGGGUGCAAGCGUUAUCCGGAAUUAUUGGGCGUAAAGGGCUCGUAGGCGGUUCGUCGCGUCCGGUGUGAAAGUCCAUCGCUUAACGGUGGAUCCGCGCCGGGUACGGGCGGGCUUGAGUGCGGUAGGGGAGACUGGAAUUCCCGGUGUAACGGUGGAAUGUGUAGAUAUCGGGAAGAACACCAAUGGCGAAGGCAGGUCUCUGGGCCGUUACUGACGCUGAGGAGCGAAAGCGUGGGGAGCGAACAGGAUUAGAUACCCUGGUAGUCCACGCCGUAAACGGUGGAUGCUGGAUGUGGGGCCCGUUCCACGGGUUCCGUGUCGGAGCUAACGCGUUAAGCAUCCCGCCUGGGGAGUACGGCCGCAAGGCUAAAACUCAAAGAAAUUGACGGGGGCCCGCACAAGCGGCGGAGCAUGCGGAUUAAUUCGAUGCAACGCGAAGAACCUUACCUGGGCUUGACAUGUUCCCGACGGUCGUAGAGAUACGGCUUCCCUUCGGGGCGGGUUCACAGGUGGUGCAUGGUCGUCGUCAGCUCGUGUCGUGAGAUGUUGGGUUAAGUCCCGCAACGAGCGCAACCCUCGCCCCGUGUUGCCAGCGGAUUAUGCCGGGAACUCACGGGGGACCGCCGGGGUUAACUCGGAGGAAGGUGGGGAUGACGUCAGAUCAUCAUGCCCCUUACGUCCAGGGCUUCACGCAUGCUACAAUGGCCGGUACAACGGGAUGCGACGCGGCGACGCGGAGCGGAUCCCUGAAAACC